GCGACCCCAGGUCGGGCGGGGCCACCCGCUGAGUUUAAGCAUAUCA
rnacentral:misc_RNA from 1 species